GAUGAACGCUGGCGGCGUGCCUAAUACAUGCAAGUCGAACGAAACUUCUUUAUCACCGAGUGCUUGCACUCACCGAUAAAGAGUUGAGUGGCGAACGGGUGAGUAACACGUGGGCAGCCUGCCCAAAAGAGGGGGAUAACACUUGGAAACAGGUGCUAAUACCGCAUAACCAUAGUUACCGCAUGGUAACUAUGUAAAAGGUGGCUAUACUACCGCUUUUGGAUGGGCCCGCGGCGCAUUAGCUAGUUGGUAGGGUAAAGGCUUACCAAGGCAAUGAUGCGUAGCCGAAUUGAGAGGUUGAUCGGCCACAUUGGGACUGAGACACGGCCCAGACUCCUACGGGAGGCAGCAGUAGGGAAUCUUGCACAAUGGGCGAAAGCCUGAUGGAGCAACGCCGCGUGGGUGAAGAAGGUCUUCGGAUCGUAAAACCCUGUUGUUAGAGAAGAAAGUGCGUGAGAGUAACUGUUCACGUUUCGACGGUAUCUAACCAGAAAGCCACGGCUAACUACGUG
rnacentral:rRNA from 1 species